rnacentral:rRNA from 1 species
AUUGAACGCUGGCGGCAGGCCUAACACAUGCAAGUCGAACGGUAACAGGAAGAAGCUUGCUUCUUUGCUGACGAGUGGCAGACGGGUGAGUAAUGUCUGGGAAACUGCCUGAUGGAGGGGGAUAACUACUGGAAACGGUAGCUAAUACCGCAUAACGUCGCAAGACCAAAGAGGGGGACCUUCGGGCCUCUUGCCAUCGGAUGUGCCCAGAUGGGAUUAGCUAGUAGGUGGGGUAACGGCUCACCUAGGCGACGAUCCCUAGCUGGUCUGAGAGGAUGACCAGCCACACUGGAACUGAGACACGGUCCAGACUCCUACGGGAGGCAGCAGUGGGGAAUAUUGCACAAUGGGCGCAAGCCUGAUGCAGCCAUGCCGCGUGUAUGAAGAAGGCCUUCGGGUUGUAAAGUACUUUCAGCGGGGAGGAAGGGAGUAAAGUUAAUACCUUUGCUCAUUGACGUUACCCGCAGAAGAAGCACCGGCUAACUCCGUG